GAUGAAUGCUGGCGGCGUGCCUAAUACAUGCAAGUCGAGCGGCAGCGCGUCUAGUUUACUAGAUGGCGGCGAGCGGCGGACGGCUGAGUAACGCGUGGGAACGUGCCCCAAAGUGAGGAAUAACUGCCCGAAAGGGUAGCUAAUACCGCAUAUGAUCUUCGGAUUAAAGUCUUCGGACGCUUUGGGAGCGGCCGGCGUCGGAUUAGAUAGUUGGUGAGGUAAUGGCUCACCAAGUCGACGAUCCGUAGCUGGUCUGAGAGGAUGAUCAGCCAGACUGGAACUGAGACACGGUCCAGACUCCUACGGGAGGCAGCAGUAAGGAAUCUUCCACAAUGGGCGAAAGCCUGAUGGAGCAACGCCGCGUGAAGGAUGAAGGCCCUCGGGUUGUAAACUUCUUUUAUGAGUGAAGAAUAUGACGGUAACUCAUGAAUAAGCACCGGCUAACUACGUGCCAGCAGCCGCCGUAAUAC
rnacentral:rRNA from 1 species